rnacentral:tRNA from 1 species
GGGGAUAUGGUAUAGUGGUAGAAUUCACGCUUUGGGUGCGUGAGACCCGAGUUCGAUUCUCGGUAUCCCCCCCA